GACGAAGGGGGCUAGCGUUGUUCGGAAUUACUGGGCGUAAAGCGCGUGUAGGCGGUUGCCCAAGUCGGGUGUGAAAGCCUUGAGCUCAACUCAAGAAAUGCACUCGGUACUGGGUGACUAGAGGACCGGAGAGGAAAGUGGAAUUCCCAGUGUAGCGGUGAAAUGCGUAGAUAUUGGGAGGAACACCAGUGGCGAAGGCGACUUUCUGGACUGUGUCUGACACUGAGGCGCGAAAGCCAGGGGAGCGAACGGG
rnacentral:rRNA from 1 species